CGGAGAUAACAAACCCGUAGCCCCACCACUGAGCCAACGGAACGUACCCGGCGCCGUAGAAUACAGGAGCAGAACCAAUCCCGUAGUGGGUGAUGCCGCCCAUGAGGUUCGAGAGGAAUGAGAGAACCAUGGCGGCAAAGAGCGAGGGGGUGCCCAGGGCCUUCGCCACUGACAGGAAUGCAGCAAACAUUGCUCCAAUGUGUGCAGCACCACUUGCAAAGAAAUAGUGGGAGUAGAAGUACAGCAGCACCAAGACGCUGAACGAAAGUUGCCAGGACAAACCAAGGCCUCCAACAAACUGCGAGAAACAGAAAGACAUGGUCAAUAUAGGAGAAAUUAGUAAACAGGAAAAACGCAUUCCUUUCCAUGACGUUGAUGUCAGAACUGGGUUAACCAAAGAAUAAACACAUUGGAAUAUCAGGCCCAUAAAUGCCAUUGAACUUCUAGGGAAAAAAAGCUGGGCAUUGAACUACAUGCCUAGAUUAUUUUUAUUAUUGUCAUGCUGAUGGAUAUAUGAGCCUGCCAUUCAUACUCAAAUGUUAGAAAGAAUCAAGAUAAUUAUUUCUACUUCUGGUCUAACAAACGAAAAAAAUCUUUAUAUCUUAACUACCUACUAUCUAGCCUAUCCUUCAUUGUGGACAGUGCUCCAUUUCAAGGGUGAGCAGAUAAAUGGCACAAUAAAUAGCUCCUAGAUCAGGGUCAAGAUAUGCAUGGUUAAUGUCAUUAUGUAUCAGAAUUGAAUACAAUGUGCAACUUGGUGGAACCUACAAACAUGACAAACAAUGCCAGCAAAUGCAAUGUUUGGUGGCAUCAAAGUUCAGCACCAUGCCAUAUUGAAAUGGAGAAUAUCCACCAUGCUCAAUAUCAAUUACAGUUGGUCAGCACUGUAGUAAUUUGUAUGCUGUUCGAACUUCUGAAUUGUGGUGUGAAGAGAAAGUUACGGGAGGAAGAGUCAGUGUACCUUCACAACAGUCUCACUGAACCAAGCAAUCAGCCCAUAUUUGUUGAGGUAGCCAGCCAUUGCGAUAAGUGCGGCAAACCAUGUAAGGGUAUCCCAUGCCACAGACUCCGCCAAACACUCUUUCCAUGUGACAACACCUGUGAUUAGGAGCACACCUAGGCCAAGAAUUGCUGCAGACACUGCAUCCACACUUAUCAUUCCCCCAAAGAUCCAAAGACCGACCUG
rnacentral:lncRNA from 1 species